AGAGCGAACGCUGGCGGCAGGCUUAACACAUGCAAGUCGAGCGGGCGUAGCAAUACGUCAGCGGCAGACGGGUGAGUAACGCGUGGGAACAUACCUUUUGGUUCGGAACAACACAGGGAAACUUGUGCUAAUACCGGAUAAGCCCUUACGGGGAAAGAUUUAUCGCCGAAAGAUUGGCCCGCGUCUGAUUAGCUAGUUGGUGAGGUAAUGGCUCACCAAGGCGACGAUCAGUAGCUGGUCUGAGAGGAUGAUCAGCCACAUUGGGACUGAGACACGGCCCAAACUCCUACGGGAGGCAGCAGUGGGAAUAUUGGACAAUGGGCGCAAGCCUGAUCCAGCCAUGCCGCGUGAGUGAUGAAGGCCCUAGGGUUGUAAAGCUCUUUCGCCCGCGACGAUGAUGACGGUAGCGGGAGAAGAAGCCCGGCUAACUCGUGCCAGCAGCCGC
rnacentral:rRNA from 1 species